CAAGCUUAGGCUCUUGCCACUCCUUGUUCCAUAAUCCAUCAAAAGAAUUCACCCAAAACUUGAAAACUUCACAACACACAACUCAACAGAAAUCUCGUGAGCUCCGUUAGAGAAAGAAAACAAAAGACUACUUCAAGGUACUGUAAUGAACUCAUUAUUUAUUUAUAUUGGUGUUAAAACUACUGUAUUCCAACUUCUCUAUGGUUUAUAAACUAAUUUACUAGCCAUAGAUUCAUCAAAAUAAGCAAACAACACACGAAAAACAGAAUCUGUCAAAAACAGAAUAGUCUGUAGCAAUCUGUAACUAACGCAAACUUCUGAACUAUAAAAAUUCUACAAAACUAGGAAGUCCUGGAAAAUUUGUUUAUUGAUCAGCAGCAAAACGAAUCAACGCAAAAUCACGUUCCUGUGAUUUAUAAUAACUAAAUUCGUGCGCGCAAAGUUUCUGUUUUUCAGCAGAAUCAAAUCAACUAUCAUCGUAGGUUAUCCUAUAGGUCCUACUUGGCACAAACACUAAUUAAAACAUAAAACCACAUCCAAACAGAAUUUAGAUGGAUUAUUUAUUCCUAAACAGAAGAAAAAACAAAAAACACAAAAUAAAAUUGGGUUGCCUCCCAACAAGCAAUAUCAUUUAACGCCCCUAGCUAGGCAUUGAUAUUUCAAUGAUGCUCACAAGAAAGACAAGAAUUGAAGCACAAAAAGAGCAUCAUAAAACACGUGACAAACACAUCUAAGUCUAACAUACUUCCUAUGCAUAGUCAUAUUAUAAGCAAACAAAUUUGCCAGGCAAACAAAACCUAGCAUAUGCAAGGAAUAAGAAAGAGACGAUAGCAAUCUCAACAUGACGAGAGGUAAUUUAGUAACAUGAAAAUUUCUACAACCAUAUUUUCCUCUCUCAUAAUAAUUACAUGUAGGAUCAUAAGAAAAUUCAACAAAAUAACUAUCACAUAAAAUAAUGCCAACACGAUCCACAUGCAUGCGAAGUUGACACUCUUCCAAGAUAGUGGGAUUAACAUUAACUAAAGUCAUGACCUUUCCGAACCCACUUUUAUCAAAAAUAUCAUAAGAUUGAACAUACUCCAAAUAUGUGGGAUCUAAAGUUGACACUCUUCCAAACUCACUUUCAGUAUUAUUGCAAACACUAUUAUCAAUCUCAUAUUCAUCACGGGGAUUAAAUAAAUUUUCAAGAUCAUAAGAAGAAUCACCCCAAUCAUGAUCAAUGCAACAAGUAGAGGACAUAGCAAAACUAGCAUCCCCAAGCUUAGGGUUUUGCAUAUUUUUAGCACAAUUGACAUCAAUAGAAUUUAUAGUAAAAUCAUUGCAAUCAUGCUUUUUAUUCAAAGAUCUAUCAUGAAUCGCUUCAUAAAGUACUUCAUCACAAUUUUUAGAUUCAUGAAUUUCAGGCAAAACCUCAUAAAGAUAAUCUAGUGCACUCAAUUCACUAGCAAUAGGUUCAACAUAAUUGGAUCUCUUAAAGAGAUUAGCAAGUGGUAUGAGGAUCCAUAAACUUUUAGCAAGCAAAAAGAAGGCACAAGCAAACAUAAGAUCGAACGGAAGAAGGGCGAACGGAAAGGAGGAGGAGAUUGGGAAAGAGAGGACAAAUAAAACAGCAAGGGUGAAGUGGAGGAGAGGAAAAUGAGAGGCAAAUGGCGAAUAAUGUAAUGCGAGAGAUAGGGAUUGCGAUGGAUACUUGGUAUGGUUGACUUGCUUGCGUGAGCCUCCCCGGCAACGGCGCCAGAAAUUCUUCUUGCUACCUCUUGAGCACUGUGUCGGAUUUCCCCGAAGAGGAGAGGAUGAUGCAGUAAAGUAGCGUAAGUAUUUCCCUCAGUUUUUGAGAACCAAGGUAUCAAUCCAGUAGGAGACCACACACAAGUCCCUCGUACCUACACAAAACGAUAGCAACUCGCAACCAACACUUAGGGGUUGUCAAUCCCUUCACGGUCACUUACGAGAGUGAGAUCUGAUAGAGAUAAUAUUUUUGGUAUUUUUGAUAGAUAGAUGCAAAGUAAAAGUAAAGGCAAAGUAAAAACAAAGCAAGUAAAUAAAGUUAUAUAGAUUGAUAUGAUGAGAAUAGACCCAGGGGCCAUAGGUUUCACUAGUGGCUUCUCUCAAGAGCAUAGGUAUUCUACGGUGGGUGAACAAAUUACUGUUGAGCAAUUGAUAGAAUUGAGCAUAGUUAUGAGUAUAUCUAGGCAAUGAUCAUGUAUAUAGGCAUCACGUCCAAAACAAGUAGAUCGAAACGAUUCUGCAUCUACUACUAUUACUCCACUCAUCGACCGCUAUCCAGCAUGCAUCUAGAGUAUUAAGUAAAAACAGAGUAACACCGUAAGCAAGCUGACAUGAUGUAGAGGGAUAAAUUCAUGCAAUACGAUAAAAAAAACCAUCUUGUUAUCCUCGAUGGCAACAAUACAAUACAUGCCUUGCAACUCUUUCUGUCACUGAGUAAGGACACCGCAAGAUUGAACCCAAAGCUAAGCACUUCUCCCAUUGCAAGAACUACCAAUCUAGUUGGCCAAACCAAAAAGAUAAUUCGAAGAGACUUGCAAAGAUAACUCAAUCAUACAUAAAAGAAUUCAGAGAAGAAUCAAAUAUUUUCCAUAGAUAAUACUGGAUCAUAAACCCACAAUUCAUCGGUCUCAACAAACACACCGCAAAAAAUAAGAUUACAUCGAAUAGAUCUCCACGAGAGAGGGGGAGAACAUUGUAUUGAGAUCCAAAAAGAGAGAAGAAGCCAUCUAGCUACUAGCUAUGGACCCGAAGGUCUGAAGUAAACUACUCACACUUCAUCGGAGGGGCUAUGGUGAUGAUGUAGAAGCCCUCCGUGGUGGAUGCCCCCUCCGACAGAGCUCCGGAACAGGCCCCAAGAUGGGAUCUCGUGGAUACAGAAGGUUACGACGGUGGACUUAGGUUUUUGGCUCCUGUUCUGAUCGUUCGGGGAUACAUAGGUAUAUAUAGGAGGAAGGAGUACCUCGGUGGAGGUCCGAGGGGCCCACGAGGUAGGGGGGGUGGGCCCUCCACCCUCGUGACCUCCUCGGACACUGCUUGGAGUAGGGUCCAAGUCUCCUUGGUCAUGUUCAGUUGGAAAAUCACGAUCCCGAAGGUUUCAUUCCGUUUGGACUCCGUUUGAUAUUCUGUUUCUUCGAAAUACUGAAAAAGGCAAAAAACAGCAAUUCUGUGUUGGGCCUUCAGUUAAUAGGUUAGUCCCAAAAGUAAUAUAAAAGUGGAAAAUAAAGCCCAAUAUAGUCCAAAACAGUAGAUAAAGUAGCAUGGAGCAAUCAAAAAUUAUAGAUACGUUGGAGACGUAUCAGUAGGCCAUGUCAGCUCCGUGAUGAUAAGGACGGCGCGCCCGUUGCUGCGCGGAAAAGACACCUCAAAUUAUUCCCCAUAUGAGAGAGAAGGAAUGAUUGAAAUGUACGAAAGGGUUGUCCGGAACUGACUUACUUUGGAUGAUAAGGCACGAGGACAAUUUCCCGGUCCUUAUUCUGUACCAUGAAGUUUUGGAGGUACUCCCUAGCAGUUUCACGCUCAAAGUCGCCGAGACUCAAGAAAGACUCGUUCAUGUAGUACGGAUCCACCACACAGAUUUGCGAGAGUUCUUCACUCUUCAUGACGGAGCUCAUAUGUAGCGCAAAAAGGCGGACGAUUGUAAAAUCGAGCCGCCUUGUUAGAAACAUCUCAAAGAUAUGGUCAAACCAUAGGAAGAACACCUCCGUGGGCCGUGUCUCGACGUAGCACUUCCCCUCAGGCACACGAGCUGCGUAUGUCAGAUAUCCUAGAUCCUUUGAGGCUAGUAGGCUUUUCUCAGUCGACAGCACAUGGUCGUGCAGUCUCCUGAGAUCCCCUGAUAGUGCCUCCAGCGGUUUCGGCGGUAGCAUCGACUCGCCCGUGAGAUGGAACAUGACUGCACCUUUCACGGGUACACGUUCUUCAGAAUGCAUCGUCUGGCUGCUAUGUGCUCUGGCUUGUUUGGAGGCAGUUAUCUUCCCCAAUCUCUUCCUCUCCUUUUUCUUGGGCACACCUUCCAGACCCUUCCUUAACCCCUGCCCCAGUGUUCCCGGGCUAAGUACUGUACGACCCUCGCGCUCGGCUAGUUGAGCCUGUGUUGAGGCGGCAUCAGGCGUGUCCUGUGAGGAUUUCAUGAAGAGAGACUUUUUGCAAUCCCUGCUACGACCCUGCCCGGGCAUAUCAUCCAUAUCCUCAUUAGCAAGCUGAUAGCCCGAUUCGUCAUAUGGUUGACUCAUCAUAUCUAUGUGACAGUCAUACGCGUUUGUAUUGAGGAAAUCCAUAGGGUCGACCUCCGUCUCAUCAUCCAUUCUCUGUUCUACAGGAGAAAUUACAUCAGCCAAUACUAUUGCACCCCCUUCAUCAUGUCGUCGCCACUCUCACCCGGCACUACAGGAGCUGGUAAUUGCGUAGGCGGGGUGGUGGCCUCCACACAUGCUUGUUGAUGUGUGGUUAUUGGUGUGCUCUCGGCCGGCUCUAGACGAAUAAGAUUCUUCGGCCAUAGCAGCACCCAACCCUUGCAGCUUCCAAUCCGCGGCGGGGUCUCGUCGUCCGCUCCCACAUGCUGUACUGGAGGAGGCAAAUCCUCGUGCCCCGAUUUCACACUAGUCAAGCUAACCCUGAAGUGCCUUGCGGGGAUCGGCUGGCUGUGGAACGUGGGUUGCGAGGGGUCCAUUAUCAUCCCCUUUCCCACGUCCACCUUCUGGCCUUUGAUCAAGUAGAGUAUGGUGCACGGGGUUUCUUUCGCCUGCAAACACAUAUGUCUGUGGCGUAAAACAACCGAAAGGCAACAAAAAUGAAAUAUUAUAUAUAUAUAUAUAUAUAUGUGUGUGUGUGUGUGUGUGUGUGUGUUGGUGCGACAUGUAAUUACCGUGACGGCGUCGAGCUCAGCCAAAGACGAAGGCCCACCUAGCGCGCCUGAGACUGAGGACAGGCUGCUAUGAGCGGGAGCGACUGUGAGAGGAGGCCCGGUUGCGUGAGCAAGUGAUGGUGCGAUGGUGUUGUUGUUCAUGGAGUUGCUCCCGACGAAACUGGGCAACAGGAAAGCAUGUACCGUCUUGUCUGGAUUUUCCUUCGUCCAGUUGAUGAUAAUUGGAACCAAGUUAGUAGCAAAAUCAUUUCUACAGGCAGUUACAGCUGCAUUGACUGCCUGUUGUAGCAACUCAUAUUUGUCCUCGGCUGCUUUUUUCGCGUCCUCAGCUGCUUUUUUCUCGACCGCAAGCUUCACCUUCGCGUCGAUGUCCGCCUGACUAAACUUCUUUUUCUGCUUCUUGGCCUCCGAGCCCGCGUUGUAAAACACCUUCCACGUGGCGCCAUCUCCAGCGCCGUGCACAUGACCAUAUUGCGGCCGCUGGCCCAAAGGGACUCCCUUAAGUUCGUUCAAGGCCCGGUUGAGAGGGGUGUCCCACUUGGGCCUCAUCGGAGAAGUAGGGCUUUCGACUGCAAGCUGGUGUUUCUUCUCCAGUAGUCUAAUCAAUUUCCUCGUGAUCUUGUCCGUGUAAAAAACCUUUUUCUCCUUGUCCCACUUGUAGUGGGCCCUGAUGAAGUCACGCUCCAAGGGGUUGGUGAACUUCGCGAAGGGGUCUGGGAGACCCGCGGCUUCAUGUUCCACGUCCUCCUUAUCCCAUAUGGGCCUUUUACCGAGGUAGGCACGGCUUCCGAGGUGAUGCUUCCCCGUGUUCCUUUGCUGAAGGCUCUUGAAUUUCGCAGCCUUAGCCUUGGCUGCCUCGGUAGUGCAAGUGUCCUUGAACUUUUCGAACUCCUCUUCUGUAAGUGUCGGAUUUUCCUCCAGAAUCUUGGACAGGGGUUCAUCAGCCUCAAUAGCUCGUUUCACCCUCCCUUUCCAGGAGGCCAAAUCAUUGCUGAACAUGCCCAUGGCGUGAUUGUUAAUCUUUUUCAUCUUCGGAUCAUCCCACGGUUGUUCUAUGUUAUCAUCCCGGUCGGGGAACUUGAAUCUCUUGUGCAACUUCGUUAGGAGCAACUGCAUCAAAUGUUCUUUACUCCUUAAGUCAUCAUCAUUGAUGCUAGCGCAUUCCCGUAGGAUGCAUCCUACUUGGUUCCCAUAGCCCUUGCGAGGUUCUUCCGGCUCUAACGGCUCAAACUUGCCAUGUGCCAUCUUUGUGAUCACAAGUCAUUCAAUCCCUAGUUUGUUAGGUUUUCGUAUCCUCUGCUUCUUAUGCUUCCUCUUUUCGGUAGCGGCAUCGGGGCUGGUACCUUCCCCGCCGGUACCUUCCCCGCCGGUCUCGGCACCGUCAUCGGUGCCGGCGCCGUCGGUGUCGAUGUCGGCGUCAGUACCAUCAUCGAGGCCGACCUGCAAACCUUGCUUAGCAGUCAAAUAGUCCAGGUACUCUUGUUCACCCUCAUAAUCCAUCUCGUCUGCAUCUUGGUCAGAAGGCCCAGUUUCUUCGUUGUUCGACAUGUUUCCUAUGAUUAAGUGUCCUCAUUUAUUUCUAAAAGUAUGAAUAAAUGAGAAAUGACAUAAACAGAAAUCUAUGUGCCAGCACUCGAUAUGCCAACUAUGUAGCACAAAUCAUGCCAUUAUUCACGGGAAAUUUCGGCAUGACCUUUGCUAAAAAAUGGACAUAUCGAGCGCCUGAAAUUCACCGGAACGGAAAUGAAUCAACAUUCCGGCGUAACAUAGGCCACUCGGAUCAUUUUCCAAACAUGACAUGUCCAAAACAUGACAUAUCCACAUAUCACAUGUCCAGUUCAAAUUUGCAUAUAAAUUCAGCUAAUUUUCAAACCUAGCUAAAUUCAUAACUAAAUAGAUAACCUAAUUAACAUACUGCCCUAACUAAAACCUAAGUAAAUUAACCGAAGAACCCUAGCAGAGAGAGAGGGGGGUUUACAGAGGGUGCAGGGGCGACGAGGCAGGCCCGACGACGGUCGAGGUUGGGAGGGGAGGAGGCAGAGGAGGGAGGCGAGGGCCGACAGGUCGGGGGCGAGCGCGCCGGGGUCGGUGGCGAGCGCCUGGGUCNNNNNNNNNNNNNNNNNNNNNNNNNNNNNNNNNNNNNNNNNNNNNNNNNNNNNNNNNNNNNNNNNNNNNNNNNNNNNNNNNNNNNNNNNNNNNNNNNNNNNNNNNNNNNNNNNNNNNNNNNNNNNNNNNNNNNNNNNNNNNNNNNNNNNNNNNNNNNNNNNNNNNNNNNNNNNNNNNNNNNNNNNNNNNNNNNNNNNNNNNNNNNNNNNNNNNNNNNNNNNNNNNNNNNNNNNNNNNNNNNNNNNNNNNNNNNNNNNNNNNNNNNNNNNNNNNNNNNNNNNNNNNNNNNNNNNNNNNNNNNNNNNNNNNNNNNNNNNNNNNNNNNNNNNNNNNNNNNNNNNNNNNNNNNNNNNNNNNNNNNNNNNNNNNNNNNNNNNNNNNNNNNNNNNNNNNNNNNNNNNNNNNNNNNNNNNNNNNNNNNNNNNNNNNNNGGGGCGAGCGCCGGCGCCGGGGUCGGGGGCGAGGGCCGGGUCGGGGGCGAGCGCCGGGGUCGGGGUCGGGGCGAGGACCGGGUUGGGGGCGAGCGCCGGGGUCGGGGGCGAGCGCCGGCACCGGGGUCGGGGGCGAGCGACGGGGGAAGAGAGAGUGGGGAUUUGGGGGGAAAUGGCGGGAUGAAGCAGGGAUAGUGAGAAUUUUGGGUUAAGUGGACGUAGCAGCAGCGCGCUUGGACAAAACGUGCUGCUACUACCUUCAGUAGCCGUAGCGGUUUAUACGAAAUGCGCUACUACUACCUUCAGUAGAUGUAGCGGUUUAUACAAAAUGUGCUACUACUACUGCCAGUUUUCCUUUUUCUUUUCCUUUAUUUUCUCCCACUUUUAUUUCCCGAGAGCAAUGAACAAAGGGAGGGCGAUAUAUAUUGCAUCAUUUGACAGUUAAAUAUGUAUGCAAAAUAGGAACAUAUAUAUUACAGCAUUGGACCCAUGCAUAAUAAUGGCUAAGUGUGUAUANNNNNNNNNNNNNNNNNNNNNNNNNNNNNNNNNNNNNNNNNNNNNNNNNNNNNNNNNNNNNNNNNNNNNNNNNNNNNNNNNNNNNNNNNNNNNNNNNNNNNNNNNNNNNNNNNNNNNNNNNNNNNNNNNNNNNNNNNNNNNNNNNNNNNNNNNNNNNNNNNNNNNNNUACAUCAUGACCGAUAACAUACGGUUCCUCAACGCUGACGUUUUCGUUUUUGAGUCAGCUUCUUUCCCUUCUUGUUCGUCGAAGAAUAAUUGAGCCCCUCAUUGUGACUUUGCCUUUUCCAUGGAGUACGAUUUUUCUUACGUAAUGUAGUAUUGAUUCUUCUUUUGACGUAUACUUCAUCAUCAUCGACAUUUUCCCUCAUUGGGUUGCCGUACUGAUCAUAGUCUUCCUCGUUGGCGACUCCAUCCAUUCCAAUGAUGUUCCUUUUGCCUCUCCUCACGACAACAUGACUGGGAUUGCAUGGGUCGGUUAUGAAGAAGCAUUGUGUCACAUGCUUAGCGUGUACCCAUGGCUCGUUUUUUGUGAUAGCAUUCACGGUAGCACUCUUGGUGUCGGGUAUACUCAUGGUAGUGAAAAUCCGGUUUUCUCUUUCGACAUUAUUUGCCCAUCUGACACGAAACAUCGUCGUGUUGUGCAGUCCAGAGUAGUCAAGCUCCCAGAUCUCCUCGACCCUUCCAUAAAAUUGUUCAGUCGCGCCGUUGUCACUGCCGGUCAUGCAUUCCAUCGUCACCCCUGAGUUCUGAUCAUCACUGUCCAUAUCUUUGGCCUCCGUGUAGAACGUGUAUCCGUUGAUCAUAUGCCUGAUAGGUUACGAGGUUGGGCGAGGGGCCAUGUGCUAAGGCGUAUAUGAGCAAUCCAUCCUUAGAUCCCUCCUCCGGGGGAUUAGCAAUAAUAUGCUCUUUGAACCAAUGCAGGAAAGUGGAGUUGUGCUCUAUAGUAACUUCGGCGUCCGUCCUACAUACCCCCCGGUCACGAUACUUCUUUGCGAUAAUAUCUUUGUGCAGUGCCACGAAAGGAUCUACCUCGUUUAGGUGUUGUAGCACUACCAAGUUUGCUCUAUCAAAGUCGCUGCGUCGAUCUGAGUAUGCCACGUGCAGUUCCCUGCGACCGUUGCAGUGACCUUCUCCUUCAAGCCUCCCAUCGUGCUUGUUAACGGGCAAACCAACACUAACACCAGGCGGCUGGUCUGCGCCAUAUAGAAAAUUCUCACAGAAAGAGAUGCACUCUUGUGUCACAUAGCCCUAGACGAUGCUUCCAUCCGGACGGGACAUGUUACAAACGAAUCCUUUGAUGAUCCCAUUCAUCCUCUCAAACGGCAUCAUGUUGUGCAGGAAUGAAGGCCCCAGGUCUAUUAUGUCAUCCACAAUAUGGACACACAGAUGCACCAUCACGUCAAAGAACGCGGGCGAGAAGUACAUCUCAAGCUCAUUCAGUAUCACAACGAUCUCUUCCUAUAGCCUUCGAAGCGCUUCACACUGAUCGACUUUCGGGAGAUGACGUCGAAAAAGUUGCAGAGACCAAUAAGCGUGUCACGGACGUGCUUGUCCAUUAUCCCUCUAAGGGCAACAGGUAGUAUCUGUGUCAUCAUCACAUGACAGUCAUGGGACUUCAUCCUGCUGAACCUUUUCUUGUCCGUGUCUAGAUAUCUGUUUAUCUUGCCACAGUAACCGGAACUAACUUUGACUCUGGUAAGGCACUUAAAGAAUUGAUCGAUCUCAGCCUUACUUAAGGUGAAGCAAGAAGGGGGGCAAUAAUCCUCUUUCUUUAUUUUCUUGCCCUUCUUCUCCCGUGCCUCUGUCUCCGUCUCUGUCUCGUCUGACAUUUUACGGGGUGGCAUGUGCAGAUCUUCCCUGGUUUUCAAAUCUUGCAAGUCUUUUCUUGCCUUCGGCCCAUCCUUGGUCUUAUCCGACAUGUUCAUCAGUGUUGCGAGCAAGCUCUCAAGGACAUUCUUACAGAUACACAUUUGAUCAAGGCAAUGAGGUGUAUCGAGUUUGUGACAGUACUCCAAGUCCCAAAACACAGACCUCGUCUUCCAUACCUUCAGCAGCAGCUCCGGCGCCUUUCUCAUCGUCUUUCCCGGCGUGGAGCACUCCUUCCAGUUUUUCAAUAGCUCAUCGAUUUCGGCACCGCUCCGCUUACGUGGAGGUCCUCGAUGCUCAGCGUGACCAUUGAAUAGAUCUCCACGGGUCGUCCUGUUCGAGCCAUCUUCGAUGCCCCAUGUACACGAUUUUCCCAGACCCGCCAUCUUUCCUUGACGUUAGCUGCUGAGACGUCGUAUCAUCCAUGCACCGCGUGCAUCCGCAAUAUCCAUGGCACACCUGGCCUGCCACAUAUUCGUAACCGAGAUAGUCCUGCACUGUCGUGAUCAGCACGACUCUCAUGUUGAAAUACUCGCCUUUGCUGGCGUCCCAUGUCUUGGCAUGUGUUUUCCAUAACGUGUCUAACUCCUCUUGAAGUAGCCCCAGAUACAAAUUAAUAUUAUUUCCUGGUUGUUUCGGCCCUUGAAUAAGCAUGCUCAUGUGAAUGUACUUCGAUUUCAUGCACAACCAGGGGGGAGGUUGUACAUCCAUACAAACAUGGGCCAUGUGCUAUGGUUGGUGUUCUGGUUGCCAAAUGGAUUCAUGCCAUCAGUACAUGCGCCGAGCACGAUGUUCCUUGCAUCACAUUCAAAAUACCAAUAGAAGUUGUUCAACGCUCUCCACUAGCUUCCAUCCUUCACAUGUCUCAGCUUCGAAUCAUCUCCACCAUCGGGCUUCUUCCUCUCCGCAUGCCAGCGCAUUAGCUUUGCUUCCUUGGGAUCUACAAAAUACCUCUGGAGACGGGGAGUGAUCGGUAAGUACCAUACAACUUUCUGGGGACAUUUCUUCCCGACCUUCUUGUAUCGAGAAGCAUUGCACACCAGAUAGCUUGUUUUUUCCAUGUGCUCCUUCCGAUAAAUUAUGCAAUCGUUGAUGCAUGCAUGGUAUCUAACGUGUGGCAGAUCAAGAGGGCACACGAUCUUCUUGGCCUCAUCAACACUAGUAGGACAUAGAUUACCCGCGGGAAGAACAUCCUUUAGGUACUUGAGAUGCUCAUCGAGGCUAGUGUUGGUCCAUUUGUUUUUAGCCUUCGUCUUCAGGAGUUGGAGCGUGAAACUCAAGCGGGUCACCUCAAGAUUGCAACCAUCAUACAAUGGAGUGCUCGAGUCUACCACCAGUUGCUCCAGCUUAGCCUCCUCUCUAGAAGCAGCUCUCUCAGUACUCGUCUCCUUGCGAAGCAAUGCUUGAACAUGAGGGUCCCGCACGAUUGAACUUAGUACCGACGAACUCUGCUGCGUGGAGUCCAUGUCGUUCUCUCCGCCGCCAUGUUCGGCCCCUUCUCCUCCGCCAUGUCUGGCCCCUUCGCCAUGUCCGGGCUCUUCCCCGCCGCCAUUAUCGAUCAUCUCUUCGUCUUGCCCCGUGUCAUCAUUGCCUGCCCUGUCGGCAUCCUCAACAUCGUCAUCCUCAUCUUCAGUUAUCCACCGAGUAUAGCCAUCCAUGAAACCAGUCAUGAGCAGGUGCGCUUCGACACGACCAUCGUCAUAGGGGUCGAGCCAAACUUUUCCUUUGCAUUUUCGACACGGACAUAAAACCUCUGUCAAGUUAUUUUCUUUCAUGCCCUGCACCGCCGACCGCAACCACCUGUCCACCAUCGUUCCACUGACCAUCAUGAAUGUGUGCACGGUAAUAAUAAAACAAAUUGAUUAUAAAAAUGCGUGCAUGCAUCAAAGUCAUACAAAAAUUUGGCAUGACCUUCCCUAAAAAUAGGACAUGUAUGGAUCUAGAGUUUGCCCGGAAUUCGCCGAAACGGAAAUAAAUCGACAUUUCGGCAAAACAUAGGCAACUCAAAAGCACAAUUUGGUGUCAACUCAUGCCACACACACAAUUUCCACAAACAUAUCACACACACAUAAACAUAUUUCCAUUUUGCAAAAGCAUGAAAUUUUCAUCACCUCUAUCUCGAGAUCGAGCACACGGUGGAGAUGAUGUUGUAGGGAGAUCAAAAGUGCACAAAGCUCUUGUUGACAAAGAUAGAUCUAGUUAGUGGGCAAAUAGGUCACUUAACUAAAUCCUACAUCUACCUAGCUACCUAAUUUGGGAGGAGACAACUUCAACUAGUGGAGGGGAAGGAAAAAGAGAAAGGAGAUGCAUUAAUGGAGGUGGUGUAGUUAGGUAGGAGUAAUGAAGAGAGAGAAAGGUAGCUAGAAGAGAGAGAGUAAUGGGGGAGAAGUAUUGAGGAAGAAGAAGAGUGAGAGUGGGAGCAUGUGGGAGGUAGGGGAAAGGGAAGAGAGGAGGGGGAGGGGGAGGGACGGGUGGGGAAAAGGUGGUGGGUUGGUGCGGAUUAGCAGUAGCACGGGAGUUAAAACGCGCUGCUGCUAAGGAAGUAGCAGCAGCGCGCUUUGGGCAACGGCGCUACUGCUAACCGGGACCAAAAAGUGUGCCAAUUUGAAAUUUAGCAGCAGCGACCUCAGAAAAAACAUGGUACUACUACAUCCAUAGCAGUAGCGCGGCUCGCUGCACCGCGCUGCUGCUAAAUGGAGUUUGGUGGACACCACCGGUCGAUAUUUGUAGCAGCACGGUUUACACCGAGUGCACUACUGCUAAAAACUUGUCAGUAGCGAGUUUCCCGCACACGCGCUACUACUAAUUAGCAGCAGUGCUCCUUUUUGAGCCGCGCUGCUGCUAAGAUUCUGUGUAUAGGCUUUUCCCUAGUAGUGCAAGAGAAGCACGUGAGCGGCCGUCACCAGGAGCGGGCAAAGCCGCAACAUCCGAAGGUACCUGCUGAAACGGAAAAACCAUCUCACCAAAGUAAACGUGUCGUGAAGUGAUCACCCGAUGUGAGAUAGGAUCAUAGAAGCGGUAGCCUUUGGUGUUCGGGUGAUAGCCGAGAAAGAUGCAGGCCACAGACCGAGGUGCAAGCUUAUGAGGAGCAGUGGAAGCGAUGUUGGGGUAGCACAGGCAACUGAAAAUGCGGAGCUCAGCAUAGGAAGGGGGCGUGCCAAACAAGAGGUGAUGAGGUGCAAAAUUCCCGCGAGUGCGACAAGGACGAAUGUUAAUGAGUAGUGAUACGGUGGCAAGCGCGUCGGGCCAAAAAUGUGGUGGCACGUUAGUGUGAAAGAGGAGGGUGCGAACACAGUCAUUAAGAGUGCAAAGCACAUGCUCAGCGCGGCCGUUUUGUUGCGAAGUGUACGGCCAAGUGAAAUGAAAGAUCGUGCCGUGUGUGGCGAGAGGGUUGCGGAUCACAAGGUUAUCGAACUCCUUCCCGUUGUCUAUUUGCAACGCAUGAAUGGGACGUCCAAACUGCGUGGAGACAUAGGAGUAGAAAGCGGUGAGAGUGGCAACAGAGUCUGACUUUCGUCGCAACGGGAAGGUCCACACAUAGUGCGAAAAAUCAUCAAGUAUGACAAGGUAACAAAGAUAGCCCGUGAUACUUGCAAUAGGAGAGUGCUACCUCUUGAGCACUACAUUGGAUUUCCCCGAAGAGGAGAGGAUGAUGCAGCAAAGUAGCGUAAGUAUUUCCCUCAGUUUUUUAAAACCAAGGUAUCAAUCCAGUAGGAGGCCACGCACAAGUCCCUCGUACCUACACAAAACUAUAGAUCCUCGCAACCAACGCGAUUAGGGGUUGUCAAUCCCUUCACGGUCACUUACGAGAGUGAGAUCUGAUAGAGAUGAUAAAUAAUAUUUUUGGUAUUUUUGGUAUAUAGAUGCAAAGUGAAAAGUAAAAGGCAAAGUAAAAACAAAGCAAGUAAUAAAGUAAUGGAGAUUGAUAUGAUGAGAAUAGACCCGGGGGCCAUAGGUUUCACUAGUGGCUUCUCUCAAGGGCAUAGAUAUUCUACGGUGGGUGAACAAAUUACUGUUGAGCAAUUGACAGAAUUGAGCAUAGUUAUGAGUAUAUCUAGGUAUGAUCAUGUAUAUAGGCAUCACAUCCAAGACAAGUAGACCGAAACGAUUCUGCAUCUACUACUAUUACUCCACUCAUCGACCCUAUCCAACAUGCAUCUAGAGUAUUAAGUUAAAAAUAGAGUAACGCCUUAAGCAAGAUGACAUGAUGUAGAGGGAUAAAUUCAUGCAAUAUGAUAAAAAACCCAUCUUGUUAUCCUCAAUGGCAACAAUACAAUACGUGCCUUGCUGCCCCUUUUGUCACUGGGAAAGGACACCGCAAGAUUGAACCCAAAGCUAAGCACUUCUCCCAUUUCAAGAACUACCAAUCUAGUUGGCCAAACCAAACGGAUAAUUCGAAGAGACUUGCAAAGAUAACUCAAUCAUACAUAAAAGAAUUCAGAGAAGAUUCAAAUAUUAUUCAUAGAUAAGCUGGAUCAUAAACCCACAAUUCAUCGUUCUCAACAAACACACCGCAAAAAGAAGAUUACAUCGAAUAGAUCUCCAUGAGAGAGGGGGAGAACAUUGUAUUGAGAUCCAAAAAGAGAGAAGAAGCCAUCUAGCUACUAGCUAUGGACCCGAAGGUCUGAAGUAAACUACUCACACUUCAUCGGAGGGGCUAUGGUGUUGAUGUAGAAGCCCUCCGUGGUGGAUGCCCCCUCCGGCGAAGCUCCGGAACAGGCCCCAAGAUGGGAUCUCAUGGAUACAGAAGGUUGCGGCGGUGGAAUUAGGUUUUUUGGCUCCUCCUUUGAUCGUUUAGGGGUACGUAGGUAUAUAUAGGAGGAAGGAGUACGUCGUUGGAGCAAUAGGGGGUCCACGAGGCAGGGGGCGCGCCCUAGGGGGGGCCCACCCUUGUGACUGCCUCUGUUACUUCUUGGAGUAGGGUCCAAGUCUCCUGGAUCACGUUCGAUGAGAAAAUCACGUUUCCGAAGGUUUCAUUCCGUUUGAUAUUCCGUUUCUUCGAAACACUGAAAUAGGCAAAAAAACAGCAAUUCUGGGCUGGGCCUCCGGUUAAUAGGUUAGUCCCAAAAAUAAUAUAAAAGUGGAAACUAAAGCCCAAUAUAGUCCAAAACAGUAUAUAAAGUAGCAUGGAGCAAUCAAAAAUUAUAGAUACGUUGGAGACGUAUCAGGCAUCCCCAAGCUUAAUUCCUGCUCGUCCUCGAGUAGGUAAAUGAUAAAAAGAGAAUUUUUGAUGCGGAGUGAUACUUUGGCAUAAUUUCAAUGUAAAUCUUCUUAAUUGUGGCAUGAAUAUUCAGAUCCGGAAUAUUCAAAACAAAAGUUCAUAUUGACAUAAAAAUAAUAAUACUUCAAGCAUACUAAUCAAAGCAAUCAUAUCUUCUCAAAAUAGCAUGGCAAAAGAAAGUUCAUCCCUACAAAAUCAUAUAGUUAGGCUAUGCUUCAUUUUCAUCACACAAAGAUGUUCCCAAUUUCUAUACCCCUGAUGACAAGCCAAGCAAUUGUUUCAUACUUAAAUAAUCUCAAACUUUUUCAACCUUCACGCAAUACAUGAGCGUCAGCCAUGGAUAUAGCACUAUGGGUGGAAUAGAAUAUGAUGAUGGGGAUUGUGUGGAGAAGACAAAAAAAAGGAGAAAGUCUCACAUUGACGAGGAUAAUCAACGGGCUAUGGAGAUGCCCAUCAAUUGAUGUCAACAUGAGGAGUAGGGAUUGCCAUGCAACGGAUGCACUAGAGCUAUGAAUGCUCAACAAAAGAAAACUAGUGGGUGUGCAUCCAACUCGCUUGCUCAUGAAGACCUAGGGCAUUUGAGGAAGCCCAUCGUAGGAAUAUACAAGCCAGGUUCUAUAAUGAAAAAUUCCCACUAGUAUAAAAAGACAACUUGUGAGACUCACUACAUGAAGAACAAGGUGCUACUUUGAAGCACAAUAUAUGAGACUCACUACAUGAAGAACAAGGUGCUACUUUGAAGCACAAGUGUGGAAAAAGAGAUAGUAGCAUUGCCCCUUUCUUUUCUUUUCUUUUUUCCUUUUUUUCUUUCUUUUUUUCUUUGGCCUUUCUUUUUUUGUCCUUUCUUUUUUUGUCCUUUUGGGGGGGGGAGACAAUGCUCUAAUAAUGAUGAUCAUCACACUUCUAUUGAUUACAACAUAAGGAUUACAACUCGAAACUUAGAACAAGAUAUGACUCUAUAUGAAUGCCUCCGGUGGUGUACCGGGAUGGUGCAAUGAAUCAAGAGUGACAUGUAUGAAAAAUAAUGCAUGGUGGCUUCGCCACAAAUACGAUGUCAACUACAUGAUCAUGCAAUGGCAAUAUGACAAAAGUAAUGUAUGUCAUGAUUAUGAUGAUGGAAGUUGCGUGGCAAUAUAUCUCGGAAUGGCUAUGGAAAUGCCAUGAUAGGUAGGUAUGGUGGCUGUUUUGAGGAAGAUAUAAGGAGGUUUAUGUGUGAUAGAGCGUAUCGUAUCACGGGAUUUGGAUGCACCAGCGAAGUUUGCACCAACUCUCAAGGUGAGAAAGGGCAAUGCACGGUACCGAAGAGGCUAGCAAAGGCGGAAAGGUAAAAGUGCGUAUAAUCCAUGGACUCAACAUUAGUCAAAAGAACUCAUAUACUUAUUGCAAAAAUUUAGAAGUCAUCAAAAAUCAAGUACUACGCGCAUGCUCCUAGGGGGAUAGAUUGGUAGGAAAAGACCAUCGCUCGUCCCCGACCGCCACUCAUAAGGAUGCACAAGCCAGGUACACUUCAUGUUUCAAAUUUGUUACACAACUUUAACCAUACGUGUAUGCUACAGGACUUGCAAACUUCAACACAAGCAUUUCUCAAAUUCAGAACUACUCAACUAUCAUGACUUUGAUAUUAUCACCCCAUAUCUCAAAACAAUUAUCAAGCAUCAAACUUACCUUAGUAUUCAACGCACUCAAAAGAAAGUUUCACAUAUCUUGAAUACCAAGUAUAUUAAUAUUAAGCAAAUUACCAUGCUAUUAACGACUCUCAAAAUAAUCUAAGUGAAGCAUGAGAGAUCAAUAGUUUCUUUAAAACAAAUCCACCACCGUGCUCUAAAAGAUCUAAGUGAAGCACUAGAGCAAAAAUAAUCAUGCUCAAAAGAUAUAAGUGAAGCACUAUGAGCAAAACUAUGAAGCUCAAAACAUAUAAGUGAAGCACAUAGAGUAUUCUAGCAAAUUCCAAUUCAUGUAUGACUCUCUCAAAAGGUGUGUACAGCAAGGAUGACUGUGGUAAACUAACAAGCAAAGACUCAAAUAAUACAAGAUGCUCCAAGCAAAACACAUAUCAUGUGGUGAAUAAAAAUAUAGCUCCAAGUAAAUUACCGAUGGAAGUAGACGAAAGAGCGGAUGCCUUCCGGGGCGUCCCCAAGCUUUGACUCUUUGGUGUCCUUGCAUUAUCUUGGGGGUUCCAUAGCUUAGGCUCUUGCCACUCCUUGUCCCAUAAUCCAUCAAAAGAAUUCACCCAAAACUUGAAGACUUCACAACACAAAACUCAAUAGAAAUCUCGUGAGCUCCGUUAGAGAAAGAAAACAAAAGACUACUUUAAGGUACUGUACUGAAAUCAUUAUUUAUUUAUAUUGGUGUUAAACCUGAUGUAUUCCAACUUCUCUAUGGAUUAUACACUAUUUUACUAGCCAUAGAUUCAUCAAAAUAAGCAAACAACACACACAAAACAGAAUCUGUCAAAAACAGAACAAUCUGUAGUAAUCUGUAACUAACGCAAACUUAUGAAACUAUAAAAAUCCUACAAAAAUAGGGAGUCCUGGAAAAUUUGUCUAUUGAACAGAAGCAAAAAAGAAUCAACGCAAAAGCACGUUCCUGUGAUUUAAAAAAAUUAUAUUCGUGCGCGAAAAGUUUCUGUUUUUCAGCAGAAUCAAAUCAACUAUCAUCGUAGGUUAUCCUAUAGGUUCUACUUGGCACAAACACUAAUUAAAAGAUAAAACCACAUCUAAACAGAGGCUAGAUGGAUUAUUUAUUCCUAAACAGAAGCAAAAACAAAAAAACAAAAA
rnacentral:lncRNA from 1 species